GUCCCAGCAGCCGCGGUAAUACCAGCUCUCCGAGUGGUGGGGAUGAUUAUUGGGCCUAAAGCAUCCGUAGCCGGCUGGAUAAGUCCCCUGUUAAAUCCAACGAUCCAAUCGUUGGUCUGCGGGGGAUACUGUCCGGCUUGGGGGCGGGAGAGGCCGCCGGUAUUUCCGGGGUAGGGGUGAAAUCCUAUAAUCCCGGGAGGACCACCAGUGGCGAAGGCUGUCGGCUAGAACGCGCCCGACGGUGAGGGAUGAAAGCGGGGGGAGCGAACCGGAUUAGAUACCCGGGUAGUCCCAGCUGUAAACGAUGCAGGCUAGGUGUUAGGGCGGCUACGUGCCGCUCUAGUGCCGCAGGGAAGCUGUUAAGCCUGCCGCCUGGGGAGUACGGCCGCAAGGCUGAAACUCAAAGGAAUUGACGGGG
rnacentral:rRNA from 1 species